rnacentral:rRNA from 1 species
AUACGGAGGAUGCGAGCGUUAUCCGGAUUUAUUGGGUUUAAAGGGUGCGUAGGCGGCCUUUUAAGUCAGCGGUGAAAGUCUGUGGCUCAACCAUAGAAUUGCCGUUGAAACUGGGGGGCUUGAGUAUGUUUGAGGCAGGCGGAAUGCGUGGUGUAGGGGUGAAAUGCUUAGAUAUCACGCAGAACCCCGAUUGCGAAGGCAGCCUGCCAAGCCAUGACUGACGCUGAUGCACGAAAGCGUGGGGAUCAAACAGGAUUAGAUACCCUGGUAGUCCACGCAGUAAACGAUGAUCACUAGCUGUUUGCGAUACACUGUAAGCGGCACAGCGAAAGCGUUAAGUGAUCCACCUGGGGAGUACGCCGGCAACGGUGAAACUCAAAUGAAUUGACGGGG